rnacentral:rRNA from 1 species
ACUUAAGCAUAUCAAUAAGCGGAGGAAAAGAAACUAACAAGGAUUCCCCUAGUAACUGCGAGUGAAGCGGGAAAAGCUCAAAUUUAAAAUCUGGCAGCUUUGGUUGUCCGAGUUGUAGUCUGGAGAAGCGUUUUCUGUGCUGGACCGUGUACAAGUCUCUUGGAACAGAGCGUCGUAGAGGGUGAGAAUCCCGUCUUUGACACGGACUGCCAGUGCUUUGUGAUGCGCUCUCAAAGAGUCGAGUUGUUUGGGAAUGCAGCUCAAAAUGGGUGGUAAAUUCCAUCUAAAGCUAAAUAUUGGCGAGAGACCGAUAGCGAACAAGUACCGUGAGGGAAAGAUGAAAAGCACUUUGGAAAGAGAGUUAAACAGUACGUGAAAUUGCUGAAAGGGAAACGCUUGAAGUCAGUCGCGUUGGCCAGAACUCAGCCUGGCUUUUGCCUGGUGCAUUUUCUGGUUGACGGGCCAGCAUCAAUUUUGACCGCUGGAUAAAGGCCUUGGGAAUGUGGCACCUUCGGGUGUGUUAUAGCCCUUGGUUGUAUACAGUGGUUGGGAUUGAGGAUCUCAGCAUGCCUUUAUGGUCGGGGUUCGCCCACGUUCAUGCUUAGGAUGCUGGCGUAAUGGCUUUAAACGACCCGUCUUGAAACACGGACCAAGGAGUCUAACAUGCCUGCGAGUGUUUGGGUGGAAAACCCGAGCGCGUAAUGAAAGUGAAAGUUGGGAUCCCUGUCGUGGGGAGCACCGACGCCCGGACCAGACCUUCUGUGACGGCUCCGCGGUAGAGCAUGUAUGUUGGGACCCGAAAGAUGGUGAACUAUGCCUGAAUAGGGUGAAGCCAGAGGAAACUCUGGUGGAGGCUCGUAGCGAUUCUGACGUGCAAAUCGAUCGUCAAAUUUGGGUAUAGGGGCGAAAGACUAAUCGAACCAUCUAGUAGCUGGUUCCUGCCGAAGUUUCCCUCAGGA